rnacentral:rRNA from 1 species
GAUGAACGCUGACAGAAUGCUUAACACAUGCAAGUCUUUGGCGAAGCUGUGCUUGCACAGCCUAGCCAAGGCGGACGGGUGAGUAACGCGUAAGGAACUUGCCCUGCAGUCAGGGAUAACAGACGGAAACGACUGAUAAGACCUGGUAAAGUCAGGCGGACUCAUGUCCAGCCUGAUGAAAAGAGAUGCUGCAGGAGAGCCUUGCGUCCUAUUAGCUUGUUGGUGGGGUAACGGCCCACCAAGGCGAUGAUAGGUAGCCGGCCUGAGAGGGUGGACGGCCACAAGGGGACUGAGAUACGGCCCUUACUCCUACGGGAGGCAGCAGUGGGGAAUAUUGGACAAUGGGGGCAACGCUGAUCCAGCAAUUCUGUGUGCACGAUGAAGGUUUUCGGAUUGCAAAGUGCUUUCAGCAGGGAAGAAAAAAAUGACGGUACCUGCAGAAGAAGCGACGGCUAAAUACGUG